CCUACGGGCGGCUGCAGUAAGGAAUAUUCCGCAAUGCGCGAAAGCGUGACGGAGCAAUGCCGCGUGCAGGAUGAAGCAGCUUCGCUGUGUAAACUGCUGUCAGGGGCUACUAACUAUGAAGAGCCUCAGAGGAAGGACCGGCUAAACUCGUGCCAGCAGCCGCGGUAAUACGAGUGGUCCAAGCGUUAGUCGGAAUCACUGGGCUUAAAGGGUGCGUAGGCGGGCCAGAAAGCGUCUUGUGAAAUCCCCCGGCUCAACCGGGGAACAGCAGGGCGAACUACUGGUCUUGAGGAAGGUAGAGGCCGGCAGAACGAUCGGUGGAGCGGUGGAAUGCGUAGAGAUCGAUCGGAAUGCCAAAGGUGAAGACAGCCGGCUGGGCCUUUCCUGACGCUGAGGCACGAAAGCGUGGGGAGCAAACAGGAUUAGAUACCCUAGUAGUC
rnacentral:rRNA from 1 species